AUUGAACGCUGGCGGCAUGCCUUACACAUGCAAGUCGAACGGUAACAGGUUAAGCUGACGAGUGGCGAACGGGUGAGUAAUACAUCGGAACGUGCCCAGUAGUGGGGGAUAGCCCGGCGAAAGCCGGAUUAAUACCGCAUACGACCUAAGGGUGAAAGGGGGGGAUCGCAAGACCUCUCGCUAUUGGAGCAGCCGAUGUCAGAUUAGCUAGUUGGUGGGGUAAAAGCUCACCAAGGCGACGAUCUGUAGCUGGUCUGAGAGGACGACCAGCCACACUGGGACUGAGACACGGCCCAGACUCCUACGGGAGGCAGCAGUGGGGAAUUUUGGACAAUGGGCGCAAGCCUGAUCCAGCCAUGCCGCGUGCGGGAAGAAGGCCUUCGGGUUGUAAACCGCUUUUGUCAGGGAAGAAAUCCUUUGGGUUAAUACCUCGGGGGGAUGACGGUACCUGAAGAAUAAGCACCGGCUAACUACGUG
rnacentral:rRNA from 1 species